AUAAUCUAUCUGGGGUGCCUUUUUGGCUGAGAAAUACCCAUUGAACCUGAUCAUGAUAAUGCAUGCGAAGGGAGAUAACAUCUACGAUAA
rnacentral:ncRNA from 1 species